UUUAUGAGGCAGCAUAGGGCUGAAUUGCGGUAGGACUUAUAUGAUUCUACCCCUUUUCAUUUUUAUGCUGCUUGGAG
rnacentral:pre_miRNA from 1 species